rnacentral:rRNA from 1 species
UACGUAGGGUGCAAGCGUUGUCCGGAAUUAUUGGGCGUAAAGCGCUCGUAGGCGGUCUGUCGCGUCUGCUGUGAAAACUCGGGGCUCAACCCCGGGCCUGCAGUGGGUACGGGCAGGCUAGAGUGCGGUAGGGGAGACUGGAAUUCCUGGUGUAGCGGUGAAAUGCGCAGAUAUCAGGAGGAGCACCGGUGGCGAAGGCGGGUCUCUGGGCCGUAACUGACGCUGAGGAGCGAAAGCAUGGGUAGCGAACAGG